AUUAUAGCUGCUGGUUGCAGUGUGGAAGUGUUUAAUGGAAUAGCCUUAUUCACCUUUGACAAAGGUCAUGUUGAUACCACGAAAUUAAUGAAAGGAGAACUGGGAAGAGAUAACUGUACCUGAACUGCAGUUUGUAAUUUGAGGUUCUACAGUACAAGAGAAGAUCUUUGCUCCUUCUGCCUCAGAAAGGAAUGAAGCACGUUCAGCCUUCAAGAGUUUACAGUCUUCUGUUAAGGAUCAUGUUGUUGCUGCAUGUGUCUUGUUAUCUGUCCUGUGUUAUAAGAGCCAGGAGAGAUGAAGACAUCUCAAAGGUAGGACAUAGCAAUCGUGUUCAGAAAAGGGAAAAUUAGACAGACUGAUGCUGUAUUAAAGAAAGCAAUGUGAUCUCAACCUUUCAGAAUUCACAGAAGACAACCCCCCCUUCCCCCCCCCCAGUCUGUUUGUUCCAUGGAGACCUCAGUAGGAGUUCAUCCAUUAUAAAACACCAGAUUUAGUUCUGUUUCUCUUCUGUCCUUUUUCUGUCAUCAGUAAAGGAUAAACUCAUGAUGCAAAAUUGUGAUAAAAAUACUGAAAAUAGUUCAGUCAACCACCAGGUGUAAACCUAGUGGAAAAGAAGCUUCACUCAUCUUGCUCUUUAAAAUAAUAAAUUUUAGCUGGAACAAUGACA
rnacentral:lncRNA from 1 species